AAACCAUGCUGUGGGCACUUCCGCUAGAGGUCCUUAAAUUGCUCCUAUGUCUCAAACAAGGAUUCAAGCUCCAUCUUAACAAACGACGAUAUUUCAUAAUGAAGCUU